UGUUUAACAAAAACAUGUCUGUAUGAAGUUAAAUAGAGUCUAUUCUGCCCAUUGAAUAAAAAUUUAAAAGGCCGCAGUAUUCUGACUGUGCAAAGGUAGCAUAAUCAUUAGUUUUUUAAUUGAAGGCUUGUAUGAAUGAUUGGACAAGAAUUAAGCUGUCUCUUUCAAUAAUAUUUGAAUUUUAUUUUUAAGUGAAAAAGCUUAAAUGAUUAAGAAAGACGAUAAGACCCUAUAAAUCUUUAUGUAAAUUAAUUUUUAAGUUAAAAUAUAAGGUUAAUUAGGCUUAAAGAAUUAGUUCAUUAUGCUGGGGCGGUAGUGAUAUAAAGAAAGAACUGUCAUUAUAAAAAACAAGUAUAUUUGUAAAGUAAAAGAUCCUGAUAUUUGGAUUUAAAGUGAAAGUUACUUUAGGGAUAACAGCAUAAUUUCUUUUGAGAGUUCAAAUCGAAAAAGAAGCUUGUGACCUCGAUGUUGAAUUAAGAGAUCCUUUAUGGUGCAGCAGCUAUAAGAGGGAGUCUGUUCGACUCUUAAAUUCUUACAUGAUCUGAGUCAACCCC
rnacentral:rRNA from 1 species